GCCAUUCCAUGAGUCACAAAGUGUGAACGAAUAGGUAUGAAGAAUAAAUGCAUUUAAAACUCAAGCCGUUUCUUAGGACUAGCAGUCGCAAUAAUGAGGCUGUUCAGAUGUGGGAGAGUUUGGACCAUGAUCUUACCCAGGGAUGCUCAGAAGAAAAGGGUGGCAGGUAUUUAUUUAGUGUGUAACAUGUGCUGGGUACUCUUCUGAACAUUUGCCACGUUCUAACUCAUAGAAUCCGCACCAAUGCUAUCUCCCGGACAGGACUACUGGCAUCCUCAUCUUAAAGAUGUGGAAACAGAAACAAGAGUUCGAGAAACAUGUCUGAGGUCAGAAAGUUGUCAUCCCUGCCCUGUGUCUCUUCAGGCACAUCUCUUCAAAGUCUCCCAUCCUUGCAAAUGAGUGUCUCAGGCACUGCCCCUGGAAGAUUCCUCACUCAACAAUACAACACACCAUCUUUUCACCCUCGAUUAACUUCCUUGAAAAUAAAGAGAAACACUGGAUGGGCCAAACAUUAAGAACAAACCAAAGAACCCAUGCUGAGACCUCUCACAUUGACAUAAGACGGAUAUUGGAAGGUGGUUAUAGAAAUGAAUCUCCACUCCCCAUCUGUUGCAGACAUACCAUAUAGCAACCGUGGAAUCAUAGUAACUGUGGAAUCAUACAGCAACAGUGGAAUCAUAUAGCAACAGCAGAACCUUACAGCAACCAUGAAACUCUAUAGCAACAGCAGAAUCCAAGUCAAAGCUCACUACCAUGGUCCACAGUUGCGUGUAUGUGUGAAUAACGGCAAUGGUUUUGCUAUCAUUUAGUAUCAGUGGUGAUUUAGUAUCAAGGAUGAAAUCUGGUAUUUCAAUGAUUGGUAAAUAAUGUUGCAUGGAUUAUCAUUUAUAAUGAUAACUUAUAACUUAAUCUUAUAAGUUUUGGAGCUCAGGGAAAAGGCUCUGAUCAUGAUCUGUCAACAAGAGUGACCACCACCACCACAAAAAAAAAUCUGCUGGAGUUAUGACGGCAAACAUUCAAUCUGAUGACAGAAGAUAAGCUGGUAGAUGGCUUCAGUCUUAGACGCCCCCACCCCUGACCUCCUCAUUCUCUGCAGCACCACAGAGUCCACUCACUCUUGAACCACUGGGAGAAUAGAUACUCUUUAACGCAAAUAGUAUGGCUUCAUGUCUAAUGGCCAAAAAGAAAUCUUCCUUCGCUUUAUACUAAUAUUUUCAGUGGACAUAUAAACUUGCUGUGAUUAAUGACAAUUAUUUAGAAGUGAUAUAUUACACUGUAACCUAUGAUGAAAUUUCUAACUAUCAUUAAUGAUAUUGUGAUUGUCUUCUGAGGCACAGCUGGUAUUAUGAAAUAUGUCAUCUUACAUCCUUGGUAUAACACUAAUGUGGGGGAGGUAGUAAAUAUGGUAAUUGUGCUGCUUAAUGCCAUUGUUUUUUCUACAUGGUGUCUUGCUCAGGGAAGCACUGGGAAUAUCAUUAGAUUUCUACAACCCACUUCCUCUAUUUUUCCCCUACCUUGUAUCUGUGCUCUCCUUUGCCAUAUUUCUUUAAGCAGCCAUAACCACCAUAACCAAAACUGUAAAGAGGAACUGAGAAAUAUUUGUAACCAUAUGAAAUAUCACCACCAAUUUCCCAUGGAUUAUCA